CACCCCGUGCCUCCAGCAGCCACCACCUGGCUCCUCAUCUCAGUGAGGAGCCAGUGAACUCACUGGCACUGGGUCCCUCCUAUAUCAAUGGACUCUCCUGGGAUUUUCAUUUGUAGUUUGUAUCUCUCUUACUUAAUUUAACAUAGUGUAGAACUUCCCAGGCUCAGAAGUCAGGAGGAUUCCUUUCCCUUUUUAGACUCAAAAGAUACUCCAUAAUCUUUCUACACUCUAAUAUGAUGUUUUAACGGAGAAAUAGUUCAUAUCAAGGAGGAAAUUAUUCUUUUUAAUUCUACAAUGACGCAGCCCUAAGACUAUAAAAUCUUUCUGACCCACCAGGAUGCCUUUGACUGUGGUCAUCCACAGCAUUAUAGACCCGAGAGAUUAUGAAAUCAAGAAGAGUGGGCACAGUGUUGAUUUCACCAGCUUUUUAGGAUAAAAUAUGAGGGAGUGCGGUCUCAGGAGAUGGCACUUGCUGCUUUUCUGAAUGGACCUGUGUUCAGUUCUCGGUCCUCAUGUCAGACAACUCCCAAACGCUUAUAACCCCAGGUCUGGGAGAUACAAUGCCCCUUCUAACCUCCUUGGGUACCCACACAUGGAUGACAUAUACAAACACACACAUACACAGAGAAAGGCGGGGGCAAACAGACAGACACAGAGAGAAAUACAAAGUAAAGAAACAAAGUCAUAAUAAACAUGUAUGGUGUAGGGAAUGUCAGAUAACACCAUCAUCUCCCGCCCCUCUCAUCCCCCCCAUGCCCUGAGAACUAAUUUUCUAGUUAGUUCCUCAGAAACCUCAUCCCAACACCCCAUUCCUACCCCUGCCCCCUAGCUGUCUGUCUCAGAGUCUCUGAAGCAGAUCUCUCUGUUUGUAUUUCCCUUGGCUGUUUGAGAGCCCUAUCUGUCAUUUCUGAUACACAGUGAAUUUCCUAUCAGAUAUGAGAAGCACCUUCAGAAUGCAUGAUGGGCUGAGAAAUGUGAACUGAAAGCCAUUUAGAGGGGACCCAGGGACCUUCCCAGGGACUGAGAAGUGUUGCCUGUCUUGCUCAGAGGAGGGGGCAGCCCUGAGAGAAGCAGGCAGAGUUAAUUGCCUGGGUGUCGAACCACCCCAGAAGUGUAAGGAAAGGAGAGCGGCCAUAAUUAAAACUCACUCGUUGGGAUUUGACAGACUUAGCUCGUCUCACAGAAGAUGGGCAGGCCAGAGACUCAGCUUAUACUAAUAAGAUGUGCUCUGGGAGGCACAGGGCAACGUUUGCUACCCUUUCUCCACAGGGAGGCGCUACUCAACCCUCUAGCUCAACUCACCGUGCCAUUAGACUUUCUUGGAGCUUCCAAGUAGCAUUCACCGCGUCUCUGUGCAACCUUUGCCGUUUCUUGCUCAUGUUAACUGUUCUGCCUGUUGGCUGUUUUGAAGCAUAGAAUACACUCAGUAAAUAUUUGUCUAAUACUUGCAUGAACAAUGAAUGCCACCUGCUUGCUACCUGUUUGUUAAUGUCACCAAGUUCCUUUACGGCACACAGUGUCUCCUCCUCAGCUGCUGGCAUACCAGCUGGCUGGGGGGUGGGGGGGUGGGAAUGGCAGAAAAGGCUUCCAAGCUUAGAGGGCUAACCUGUCCCUCCUCUGUCAAUCACAGCUGGGUGGGCAUGGCUCUCCCCUGCCCAAUAAUGUCUCAGGAUCACCAAAGCAGUUUUUGUUCCCUAAAAAAUUCUUUGGAUUCCCAGCAUAAAGUAGGAGCUCAAUAAAAUAUAAAGACUGAUCAAAGACAGAGGGCUGGAGAGCUGGCUCAGUCAGUAAAGUGCUUUUCAUGCAAGCAUUAGGACUUGAGUUUAAUCCCCCAGGACUCAUGUAAGACAAACAAACAAAACCGAAACAAAAAGGGCCCCAAAGAUUAGGUGUGUUGUGUUCUGAUAACCCAAAUGCAAAUUCUAAGGGAUCCAACACCUUCUUCUGGCUUCAUGUGGUGAAUAUACAAACAUUUACACACACACACACACACACACACACACACACACACGCACAACUUUUGAAAACAUUAAGGUGGGCAGAGAUCAAAGAAAAUGCCCAACAUUGACCUCUGGAUGCCACACACGCUCACACACACAAACUGUACUGACUGAAGAUUGGUAUCCAAGUGACAGCUCCUCCUUUGUCACCCACUUGGGUCUAUGACAAGUUUUGAACUACAAUGCCAUGUGUGCUCUGCUUUGUUCCAAAAUAGAACUCACAAGCCUGUGUUGAUACUUUCCUAAGCAGGUAUAUCCCUCCAGGAACAAGCGAGGCCCUAGCCCUGGACUAUACUCCUUGAUGCACUGUGGACAUGGCGUAAGCAGCUGCCCUGUGCUUGCAAACUGAGCUGGGGCUCUGUGGUACCUCCAGCACAGGAUGGAAGAGCUUUGGUGUCCAGCCACUCAAACUACAGAAACUCACAAGUUCCCAGCAUUGCUUUUCUGCUGCUGUUCCCAUCGCUGAUGUUGGAAAAUACCAUCUCUGGUCCAGUUCUGCCACCAAGCAGAGAGAUGGAGACUCUCCUACUGGGAAUCUCUUGUCUCUCUGAGUCCCUCCUCUCUGCUGUCCCUAGCCUUCAUACCCAGCCUCUGGAACCCUAAAUAAAUGGGCUCAUGGAUGUGC